UCAGGAUGGACGCUAGCGACAGGCUUAACACAUGCAAGUCGAGGGGCAGCAUAAAAGUAGCAAUACUUGGUGGCGACCGGCGCACGGGUGAGUAACGCGUAUGCAACCUACCUAUCAGAGGGGAAUAACCCGGCGAAAGUCGGACUAAUACCGCAUAAAACAGGGACACCGCAUGGUGAUAUUUGUUAAAGAAAUUCGCUGAUAGAUGGGCAUGCGUUCCAUUAGGUAGUUGGUGAGGUAACGGCUCACCAAGCCGACGAUGGAUAGGGGAACUGAGAGGUUGGUCCCCCACACUGGUACUGAGACACGGACCAGACUCCUACGGGAGGCAGCAGUGAGGAAUAUUGGUCAAUGGGCGAGAGCCUGAACCAGCCAAGUCGCGUUGAAGGAAGAAGGAUCUAUGGUUCGUAAACUUCUUUUGCAGGGGAAUAAAGUGCAGGACGUGUCCUGUUUUGUAUGUACCCUGAGAAUAAGGAUCGGCUAACUCCGUGCCAGCAGCGGC
rnacentral:rRNA from 1 species